rnacentral:rRNA from 1 species
UACGUAGGGGGCAAGCGUUGUCCGGAGUUACUGGGCGUGAAGCGCACGCAGGCGGUCUCUUAAGUUUGGAGUGACAGUCGGUGGCUUAACUGCCAAAGUGCUUCGAAAACUGAGAGACUUGAGGGCUUCAGAGGGACACGGAAUUCCGGGUGGAGUGGUGAAAUGCGUAGAGAUCCGGAGGAACACCAAAGGCGAAGGCAGUGUCCUGGGGAGUACCUGACGCUCAGGUGCGAAAGCCAGGGGAGCGAACGGG